rnacentral:rRNA from 1 species
GGACGAACGCUGGCGGCGUGCUUACACAUGCCAGUCGAGCGAUGAAGCACCUUCGGGUGUGAAUUAGCGGCGAACCGGGUGAGGAACACGUGAGAAAUCUGCCUUCAACUCUGGGAUAACUCCGGGAAACCGGGGCUAAUACCGGAUAUGAGCCUUGAUCGCAUGAUCGGGGCUGGAAAGUUUUUCGGUUGAAGAUGAUCUCGCGGCCUAUCAGCUUGUUGGUGAGGUAAUGGCUCACCAAGGCGACGACGGGUAGCCGGCCUGAGAGGGCGACCGGCCACACUGGGACUGAGACACGGCCCAGACUCCUACGGGAGGCAGCAGUGGGGAAUAUUGGGCAAUGGAGGAAACUCUGACCCAGCGACGCCGCGUGAGGGAUGAAGGCCUUCGGGUUGUAAACCUCUUUCAGUAGGGAAGAAGCGAAAGUGACGGUACCUACAGAAGAAGCACCGGCUAACUAUGUGCCAGCAGCCGCGGUAAUACAUAGGGUGCAAGCGUUGUCCGGAAUUAUUGGGCGUAAAGAGCUCGUAGGUGGUUCGAUACGUCGGAUGUGAAAAUCAGGGGCUCAACCCCUGACCUGCAUUCGAUACGGUCGAGCUAGAGUGUGGUAGGGGAGACUGGAAUUCCUGGUGUAGCGGUGGAAUGCGCAGAUAUCAGGAGGAACACCGAUGGCGAAGGCAGGUCUCUGGGCCAUUACUGACACUGAGGAGCGAAAGCGUGGGGAGCGAACAGGACUAGAUACCCUGGUAGUCCACGCCGUAAACGGUGGGCGCUAGUUGUGCGAACCUUCCACAGUUUGUGCGACGCAGCUAACGCAUUAAGCGCCCCGCCUGGGGAGUACGAUCGCAAGAUUAAAACUCAAAGGAA